rnacentral:tRNA from 4 species
GCGUCCUUAGCUCAGCUGGUUAGAGCACCACCUUGACAUGGUGGGGGUCGGUGGUUCGAAUCCACUAGGACUCACCA